AACUCCAUGGCUUCAGACAGGCUACUGGCUUGGGCACACUAACACCUUCUGGAGAUGGCAUGGAAAUAUCAUUCAGUGAGUUGAAAACAGAUAAGGAUGUGUUUUUACACUUACGGGUUCAUAAGAUGUCCAGUCAAAUCUCUAGGGAAGAUCAUACUUCAAUAAUUCACAAAUAGUUGAGCAUUUUCUUAGUCUGCUCUUCAAAACAAUACUGAACCUGAAGAACAUGGAGCCAAGAAGCCAGGCAGUUUCCUGAGUCCACUGCACCUGAUCUCACAUCUAAAAGAAUGCCUGUGACUGUGUUCCUGGAUCUGACUAGGCAGGUUUGCUUUUGUUUUCA
rnacentral:lncRNA from 1 species